rnacentral:tRNA from 1 species
AUAGCUCAGUCCGGAGAGCGUUAGACUGAAGAUCUAAAGGUCCCUGGUUCAAUCCCGGGU